UACGGGGGGGAGCAAGCGUUGUUCGGAUUUACUGGGCGUAAAGGGCGCGUAGGCGGUCAGCACAAGUCAGUUGUGAAAUCUCCGGGCUUAACUCGGAAAGGUCAACUGAUACUGUGCGACUAGAGUGCGGAAGGGGCAACUGGAAUUCUCGGUGUAGCGGUGAAAUGCGUAGAUAUCGAGAGGAACACCUGCGGCGAAGGCGGGUUGCUGGGCCGACACUGACGCUGAUGCGCGAAAAGCCGG
rnacentral:rRNA from 1 species